rnacentral:rRNA from 1 species
UACGUAGGGUGCGAGCGUUAAUCGGAAUUACUGGGCGUAAAGCGUGCGCAGGCGGUGAUGUAAGACAGAUGUGAAAUCCCCGGGCUCAACCUGGGAACUGCAUUUGUGACUGCAUCGCUGGAGUGCGGCAGAGGGGGAUGGAAUUCCGCGUGUAGCAGUGAAAUGCGUAGAUAUGCGGAGGAACACCGAUGGCGAAGGCAAUCCCCUGGGCCUGCACUGACGCUCAUGCACGAAAGCGUGGGGAGCGGACAGG